rnacentral:rRNA from 1 species
AUGAUUGACGGCGGAGCACGUUUUGAGAGAAAAUGUGUCCUCUUUGAACAUAUGGGGAUGCUCUGUCGUACCCACAUGUACUAUUCUCUCUGCAAACUAAUUGGUUUUGGCUGGCUAACCAACGUAAGGUGUACUUGCAGGUCAUGGAUAAUAUUGGAUGACAGAAAAUACAAAGAGACACGUAGUGAAAAGGCGGACAAAAUAUCCAAGAGAUAUUUUGCCGGAUCACUUGAAGCACUACCGGCUGGACCAGAUCAACAACACAUCCCUAACUUUUUGGCACAAUCGAAUGUACAUUAG